UCCAGACCAGUUCAGUGAGGACCAGAGUCUCUGCGCCUGGAGUCUUCAAGGCUGAAGGAGUACAGUAGAGCAUCCUCACUUGCUCCCCCCUUCUGAGCUGGCAGGACGCUGAGAUUCUGCGUUCACCUUCCGGUAGCAACCGGAAUCAAUUCCGGUGGAAAUCAAUUCUCUGCCAUUUCUCUUCCUGGCAGCUCUGAAGCCAAAUACGGACAUGGUUUUAGAACUCUGAGAUGAGGUCCGGUGGUGGAACAAGGCUAUGCACUGAGAAUAUGUCCGGGAAAACUGAAAUCCCGUCCAGUAAGUCUGUGUUCUCUCGACACCGAGGCGGCGGGAUCCGGUCCUGUUACACCUUACCAGAGGUAGUGCCCACCCCCAAGAUGAAGACUGAAUGGGACUCUGUGUUGAUAAAUACAUACAAAAUACCUGCAAUAGGGCACAGAGCCCGUAGACCUACCUAGAAUCAGGGAAAUCACAACACGAACCAUGUGAGAUAAUCAGUGGUUGCUCCCAAUGAAAGAAAGCCAAUGGCGAACUCUCUCGAAAGACUAAAGACGUUAUCGCGAGCAUGUGUCAACAGUGAUUUUAAGUCCUCUUAAGCUUUUGGAAAUAUAUCUCAGUUAAAAACUUAGAAGUUAUAAAAUAAAAAGAAAUUCAAGGAAGUUCUCAGAGUUCAAAGCAUAGCAACUGGGAAGAAAGGGGAACCCGACCCCAGCCUGGUUUCCUAUAGAGAGGAGCAGACUCAGCUCGAAAGAAGCCGAGAGCCCAGGAGACUGCCCGCUAUUGGAAGAAGACUAAAAAUGUAAUGUGGUUUAAAAUGUCUCCUAGAACAUCAGAGAGGCCAGCGGUCAUUAGAACCACAAACAAAAUCAAGGCAAUAGGAUGCGAAGAGUGCAUUUAAUUAGAUAUUUGUGAGGAGAGACACCGAGAAAACCUUGAAAGCAGCCAGAGAGAAAUGACAGGUGACCUUCAGGGCAAUAGAUCAUGAAUGAUACCCAAGUUCUCAUUCGGAACCGCAUGGGAAGUUGCCCGGUUUUUCAAGCUGAGAAAUGGAAAGAAAUGGUUAACUUUGUAACUAUAGAUCUAGUAGAACUAUCCCCAGUAAUAAAGAACGAGUGAAAGCAUCCCCAACCACAGGGAGAUAGGGAAUGCACUUACUGUUAAAAACUCCCCCAAAAGUGGCCCUCAAGGCUAUCUCAGCAGAGAGUCUGGGUCCCAGAAGAGAAGGAGGAGCCUAAGAAUGGCGGAGAAUAGAGAGAUGUGAUCCUCUAUUUUGACUAUUCGCUUAGCUCACACGUGGCAGUCAAAGCAAACUUACACACCAUCUGCUAUGGUGUUUAGUGUUUACAGAGAAAAUCUUAAAAAUAAUUACACUUUAAAGUGGGGGAAGGUAUACGGAGCUGAAGGAAAAUAGGGUUUUACCUUUGCCCCAUAUGACGAGGCACCAACCGGUGACUAUAGUCAGGUCCUUACACAUACAGUAAUGCCUACAGCAGUCACUAAAGAAGGCAUAAAGGCGAUAUAUUCAAAAUGCUGCACGUAGAUCAAAAAAUAGGUGUGGGGGAUAUAUUUAAGGAACUUAGGAAGGCGGGAAAGAGAAACACGAGGAAGGAAUUUGGAGGACAAAACUGGACAAAUCAUAAAAUGAAGAAUUAAACUCCAACUUUCAAAAUUACCACAAACACAAUGGGUUCCUACCUGAACGUCCCGCCUUUACACGUGCGACUUAAAAACACUAUCUGUGAGAUCUGCAGUCUUCAGGUAAGUAUCUGGGAGUAUAUGCUCUCACGCUGAGCUCAGACCUUUGGGGUUGAGUCUUGUACAGGACAGAGAUGCAGAUUUAAUGUCAUUUCUCUACACACUGACAGCCAGAUUCUCCAGAACCAUUUGUGGAUGACAUUGUCUUUUCUUUAAUGUAUAUUUUUUGGCACUGUAGUCAAACAUCAGGCACUGUCAUUGUGUGGACUUACAUCUUUAACUCUUCAUGCUGCUGUUGUUUACUACGGCUCUGGUGGUAUAACAUGACAUCGGAAAUGCUCACACCUCCCAUUGUCUUCCUUUUGGCUAGGACUGCUUUUCUCUCUUUGGGCUUUUCAAUUCCACAUACAUUUAUUUAUUUUUAAUUCUCUGUAUGUGAAGAAUGCCUGUGGAAUGCUCGUGUUAAACCUCUGCAGAUUGUUUGGUAAUUAAGUCUCGCCGUUCAUGAAUUCUCCCAGGUGAUGGGAGCAGAGGACUGGCCAUCUUCGGGCAUCUUUGUCAAUUGUUUCAGUGUCUUUGAGUUCUCAUUGUGAAGGUCUGCGCUGCUUCCGCUUCCUGGUCAACGUUAUACAAACCACCUGGGAAGAGGGAACUUCAAUUGAGGGAUUGUUUCCAUCGGAUUGUCUGUGGGGCAUUUUCUUUGUCUACCACUGAUGUGGGAGGGUCCAUCUCUUUGUUAGUAGAGCCACUUGUGGGCAAGUGGUCCUGGGGUAUACAGGCCGAGGAAGCCAGGGAGAGCAAGCUUUGGAAGCAGUGUUUCCCUAUGGCAUCUGCUUCAGUUCCUGCCUGGACUUCCUGCCCUUUCCUCAAUGAUGGGCUAUGAUUGGAACAUGCAAGCCCUUAAUCCCUUUCCUCCCUUAAGUGCUUUUGCUGUUGAGUCUAUGACGGCAACAAAAAGCCUAAGUUGGACAAGGUCUUUCAUGUCCUUGUGCAAGGUCUAUUCUUAAGUACUUCAUCUGUGUGCAGCAGUCAUGAAUGGAACUGGGUCCCUGAUUUCCAUUUCAGAGUGUUGGACACCGACACGUAGGAAGACUCCUGAUUUGUGCUGUUGAUUUUCACCCUGCUCCUUCGCUGAAGGUGUUGAACAGCUGUAAGAGCUUCUGGUGGAGUCUUCUUCAGGGAUUGCUUAUGCAAAGAAUCACACCAUGUGUAAGCAGGGGCACUUUGACUUCCUUCCCAGUUAUAUCCCCUUUAUUCUCUUCUCCAACCUUGGAACUGUGUUCGUUCUUGACAAAAAUCUCUCUGCAAACCGAAAGUAAAUCGGGGCUCUCUCAAUUAAAAGCAUCUACGAAAACCGAUAGCCAACAUCUUUAAACGUUUAAAAAGCUCAAUACCUCAGCUCCAAGGCAAAGUUGUCAUCUCUUACCACGCUCCAGCCAAGUCCUAAAACUUUGGCCACCAUUUAUGGUAAGAGAAGCCAGUUAUAUAACGAUAGGAAAGGAAGAAGUAGAGGCAUCCCAUCAGCAGUUGAUAGGAUUCCUCAUGUUGAAAAUAUAUCAGAACCUAACGUUAAUGCACAACCACAAGUGAGCCAGAAAUGGGACAUUAACUUAAGGUAAGCACCGCUUACAACCCAGCCUAAAUCACAGACUCAGGCAGGCAAACAACACAAUGUCUACAUGGCAUGUACACUUAAGAUCACAACAAAAUAAUUAAGGGACAUAAAUAAGCUGGCUGCGGUGGCACACACCUUUUGUUCCAGUACUCAAAAGCAGAUCUCUGAGUUUAGGAUCAGCCUGGUCUACAGAGUGAGUUCCAGGACAGCCAGGGGUAUAAAGGGAAACAUUGUUUCAAAUGAGAAAGAAACAAACAGACAAAGACACAAACAAUUAAAAUAGCUUACUGUGUUCACAGAUUGGAUGAUCCAGCACACUGGACCCUAUCCCCCUGGUAAUCACAAAGUCUAAUGUAUCACUUUUAUGAAGAGACUUGGGUGACAGGAGACCUAAGUAACCUUGAGAGCCAAAAUCAUAUGCUAAGCAUAGUGAAGUGGAAAUUUCUGGUUGUGUCAUGUGAUGCAGACUCACAUGAUGUUUUGCUGAAGCAAGACACAAGAGAGGAUACGUGAUGUUUGGAGAGUCUAAGUAGGACCCAACAGAUGGAUGGAGCGCUUGCAUUGCUAGACAUAGGAUGCUUCGUGGGUCUCCUGUCUUUGCUGAUCUCCAUUUAGUUGAGAGGUUUUUCAGCUGGUUCUGGUGGUUCUGGCCACGCCCACUGACUCCUGAAUAUUCAGUGGAGGCCAUGGUUGUUUCUGUUGGAUCGUGCCACUGCUGCUGACUCAUGUUUGGUGACACACUUUGAAUUGGACUGUUGGUAUCCUGACACUACUGAACUGCGGUCUCCUGACAUUGGAGAUUGGGAGUCACCCCCAAAAAACUACCUCUCAACAGGUGCAAAUCCCCCUGUCCUGUUUACCAUCUUUUCUCCCCUACCUUUGGAUGGUGGGCUGCAAGAGAGCAAAGUGUUUGAGGACCCUUAUUAAUAGUAGGUUUUGAAAAAUCUAAGCCCACAGCAUAGUUCUUACCAAAUUAAUUCCAAGCACAAUGCUCUAGUAACUAAAUACUUUCCCACGAGCUAGAGGGAUAUUAAAAUUAGUGGAAUGGGGGACCACGAAACAGAGCCACACAAAUACCCACAGCUGGAUUUUAGCAAAAGCAGCGACGUGGGAUGGGUGUGUGUGUGUAAAUGGUGCUAGAUCAGUGGAACAAUGUGGACACGCACACACACACAUACACACACACACACACACACACACACACACACACACACCCAGAGGUGUCAGCUCUAUAUGAAGGUAGAUUACAGGUGGCCAUGGGCAUGCAUGCCUGAAGUUUCUGCACUCACAAGCCAACAGCAGGAGCACAGUGUCUUUACAUCGUAUUAAGAAAUAUAAGUAGGGAGCUGGAGAUGGCCCAGUGGUUAAGAGCACUGACUGUUCUUCAGGAGGUCCUGUGUUCAAAUCCCAGCAACUACAUGGUGGCAACCACAUGAUCAUCUGUAAUGGGAUCUGAUGCCCUCUUCUGGUGUCUGAACACACUAUGGUAUUCUCACAUACAUAAGAUAAAUAAGUAAUUCUUUAAAAAAAUAUAAGUAAUAAAAAGAGAAUUUAAAGCAGAUGGAAGGAUAUUGUAGGUUAUAUGCAGACAGUAUGCAAUAUGCCAUUUCAUGUAAAAGGCUUGAGAUUUGUAUAUUUGUUAUUGGAUGUUGUCUCUCAUUAGAUCCUUUUAAGAGAAUUAAUUGGGAAUCCUGUGAUCAUGCAUGUGACUCGUAGAGGGUAACACAUCUACAGGUAGAAUAAAUGCGGGCAUGCCCUUUGGGAAACUGAGUCGGUUCAAAAUUCUAGCUAAAUUGGAGACAAAGAGAGGGAGAGAAAGAAGAUGGAGAGAGAAGAGGAGGGAGGGCAUUACUGUUUACAAAAUAGAACUAGAUUGACUUGAAAUUCAAAUCCUGAAGCAGUUCAGGUGAUGUGAAACUCCUCAGAGGAGAAAGAAAGAGCCAACCUCUCACUGGACAUGACAGAAGCCAGAUGGCAGUAGAAUGACAUCUUUGAGAUGACAAAACGUGGAACUGUGACUGGGAUCCUCCAUGGAGUGGAAAUGUCCUUCAGACAGAGCUGGAGAGGAGGACUGUGCAUACUGUCUCUAUAGAGCUCCAAGGAGUGUUUGGGGUGGUAGACACGGUAAGCAUUCCAAGCCGAUGAGAGCAGGCUAUAGAGACCCCAAUUCCCACCAUGCUCCACAAAGACACUCGAUUGUAACACAAAUCAAACGACAGACGUCGGAUGUUUGCAAGGAGACAAAGGUAAAAUUUGUUUUUCACGGGGGUUCAGCACAAGAUACACUAAAGGGAGCUUCUUUCGGGGAAGAGUAAAAUGUGCUCAGGGGCAAGGAAUAAAGAACAGGAAAAGAAAAUGUACACAAAUAUUAACUAAUCAAAACAAAGCAUAUCAUGUGGAAUUCUCAUGGAAUAAAUAAAAAUGUUAUAUAAAAAAGACAAAGAAGUAAUCCUUGAGUGAUGUAGUUACAAGUCAAAUGCAUGAUGGUCACAUUUUAAAGGAAUAAAAGGUGAUUUUUCAGGUAGUCAAAAUUAAUUCACACAAUUAAGUAAUAGCUGGUAAAGCUACAAAAAUGAUUAAUGUAAUUUAUGCUUCAUGUACAGGAUGACAAUUUAAACAAAAAGAGAGUAAAUUGCUCUAACAGCUUUAGAGGAGAAAACAGUUUUUUUUUAACCCAGAAAGAAGGAACAAUAUUCAAGAAUAAAUUAGUAGCUCUAAGUUGUAAUAGAUUUCCAACUACAACAAAUGAAAAUGGACUAAGUAAAACCUCAGGUUAUCAGAUGGAAUAAAAGCAUUCGUAUUCUGCCUGAAUGCAAAAAUACACAGGAGAUUAUAUUUAAACACAUAUUCAAUCACCAAUUAGAAGGGUGCACACUGAGCUCCACUAACCCCAGAUGAAGUGGGAUCAGGUCAAGAAACAUUCCUAAGCAUAUAGCAAAUUAUUUCCCAGCGAUAAACAUGUCCAUCUCCUUGGAAAAUCCAAGACUGUAAAUUGUCUAAGUGCCAGCAGGAAGGCAUCGGUGUGUGGAGGGAAGUCGAUUCUACAGAGACAGACAACCGGUGCUCCUGUAGCUUACAAAAUAGAAACAUAUAUAGCAAAAUUAAAAGACGCAACAAAACAAAACAGGAACGUCAGCCCACUGUCCGCUGGGACCCAGUUGCUGUGCACAGAAAACCGGGCAAGAAGCAAUAGGAUACAUUUUUGUUCUCAAGUUCAGUGGGAUUUCCACCAAAAUUUCCAAGAGGCGAAUAAAUACACAAAGUUCUAAAAACACGUGAUCCCGAGCUUCCGAUUCAAGAAAGUAGGCAAAGGGUAAGGAGGAAGCUGGAGGUGGGAAACAAGAAAACACAGAAGUCAAAGACGCAGCUGUAAUAAUAACGGAGCAGCGUAAAUGACAAGGACCCACGGUGAGAGCCAAGGAUGGUUCUCAGAGCGGUGACGAAGGCCCACAACCUGCCGGCGAUGGGGAAGAAAGAAAAAUAAAACGCAGUUAACACAUGUAAAGUGGCAUUGGUAUGUAUUCUGCAGAAGUAAAAAUGUUCUCGCGAGCACACUAACCACAAUCUUACUCCAAGAAAUGUGCAGAUUUGACUGCCAACGGACAAAUUCCUCAAGAAUCGCGGGUUGCCAAAUCUGACCCAAGAAGUAGAAAAAUCUAAAUCGAUUUUUAUUUCUUAGAUAAACCGAACACUUCCUUUCCAGAAAAACAACUUUGGGCCCAGAUGCUUCUACCAGUGAAUCUUCUCAAACAUUUAAGGAAGAAAUAAUGCGGACCUCGAUGAGAAAAGAUGUAGUGUGCCCAAGCUUUCUCGGAGGAGGGAGGCUGCAUUCUGAUGCCAGACCCUGGCAAGGAUCCUGUGAGAAAGAAUAUUACAUGCCAAUUUCCCUCAUGAACAUUGUAUAAAAAUCUUGAAACACUUGCAGAUCAAUUGAUGCGUGAGUGGUUUAAAGCUCAGAGAGCCUGGGUAACUCGCCACAUUAACAGAAGUGGAAGGCAUUGUAACAUUUAUUUGUUCAAAAGAAUGAAACACAAAGUCCAGCCAUGGAAAAACUCUGCCUGGCAAGCUAGAAGCGGAGGGGUGCUUUUUAAUCUGACAGAGGCUUCCUUGGCAUCUUAGAGUAAACACCAUAUUUAACAGUGAAAUAUGAAAGACUUCCCCCUUGAGACUCAGAUUGGAACAGAGACACUCUGAGCCUCUUAUUCAGUGAAGACUGGAUGUUUCACAGAAUGAGGUGGGGAGGAAAAUUAAAGGGUUAGAAAAGAAAAAAUACUCUCAUUACUUGAAGGGAUAGCUGUGUACAAAGAAGACUCAAAAGAAUUUGCACACAAUUAAAAUCCACAGUAGGAGUCAGCGAGGUGACUGGCUAUGGUGAUGGCUUAAAAAUCUAUGUUAUUUCAGUACCAGAAACAAAUAGGAUAUUAAACUAUGGCUUCUGGGUAUGCUUCAAAUUAAUACUUGUAGUUUGUGAGACAAAAUAAAAAAUGGUGAGAUAAAAAUUAUAAAAGCUGAUAUCGGAUGCAUUUCAGGGUGGCAGGAAGAUUGUCAGUGACUCAGGGAUACCAGGCCACACAGUGUCAGUCAACUGAUGGAUGCCAAACGCCCUCUUGAUGUUAAACAACCCUGACAGGACCAUGCCAAGGCAGUGAAGAGAGGGAAGCUGGUGUUGCGUUGUCUGAAUACCCCCGGAAUGAAACCGGAACCCAAGUCUGUAUGCAUCGGUGAUGGUUCUUCCCAACGAAGAUCUACAGGACCUUGAGCCCCCACGGCAGCCACAUCCGCAUUGUGGUUUCCACAGCAGCCACCGUGGACCAUACCUCAUCUCCUUCUGUGGACUUGCCCUGACCUCAGAGGAGCCUGCUGUGUUCUGUAUCAGCCCACGCGCAGUCCAGUAACUCAGAUUACAGGUCUCUGCCACCACGGUUGGCUUGGUGUGUUUAACGGACUUUUGGAUGUCCUUUGCCUGCUGAUUGGUCCAUGAUGUCACGCUGCAAACACUCUUGACCUUUAAACUCAAGACUGGUUCAUAUUCGUAACCAUGCAACCCUCCACAUGGGACGCCUCUGUCUUUGCUUCCGGUAUCAGUCACUUUUGUGUUGCUGCGAUUAAAACACCAUGGCAGCCCAAGGAAGAAAGAGUUUGUUUUGGCUAAUGUUUCCAGAGGAAUUCGAGUCCACAAGGGCGGAUCAGGAGAUAUGGCAGCAGGAACUUGAAAGUGAGUGCUCAUGGCUCCAACUGAAAGCAUGAAGCAGAGAGAGAGAGAGAGAGAGAGAGAGAGAGAGAGAGAGAGAGAGAGAGAGAGAAACUGGAAAAGGAGCCAGCCCUUAAACUCUAAAAGCCCACCUCCAGUGAAGACUUCCUCCAACAAGGCAGCAUUACCUAAAUCCCCCAACAGUGCCAAGGCCUCAAGUGUUCAAAUACAGGACUCUGGGGUUGGGGGGCUUUGCCAUUUGAGCCACUACAGCUCCCUAUUAUAAAGCAACUUAGCCUACACUAGAGACAAGUGUAUGAAAAUUGCCGAAGCUCUUUGGCACACGGAUGAGUCUUGGCGCUUCACUGUCAUGGACAAAUUAGAUAAAUGGGUACUAGAUUAGAUCUAGAGGCUAGAAUGGCUAUGGAGACUGGCAAGGCCCUGAAUGAUCAAAGGUCCUAACACAAAUUCUAGCCUGGCGGACCAAAGGUCACACAGAGAGGGACAGCCUAUUAUCCUAGUUAGCACCAGAGGAGUCUACCUGGAAAUGUAGUGUCCCAAAGAAGGACAGAGGCUAUGAAAGACCAUCCAGCUUCUAAUCACUCCUGAGUGACUCCCUCUUGGAUGCUCAGUAGUCGACACAUAGGUAUCCAGACUCAGCGAAUAUUAAUGUGCUCUGCCAGCAGGAUGUGGACCCACUGUUGAGCAUAAACAAGCCAGGAGACUGUUCAUGGUUCACCAUUUUGACAAAGUACUCGGGAAAAUCAAUGCCAAAAGAGAAAGGUUGCUUUUGGCUCAAGGCUUCAGGGGUUCUAGUCUACAAUCAAACCAACCACUGGUUUAGACUUCUGGCAGAGGUUCUAGGUGACAAAGCAAAGAAUGCAAGAACACACAGGAGGUCAACUGCGUUUACCUCAUGGCUAGGAAACCCGUAAGGAGCAAGUCUGUCACAGUCCUCUGGAAGGGGACAUCUCCAGUAACCGAAGGGCUUUCCGUAAAACCCCUCCUCCUGAUGAGCUCCACAGUGCUUGCCAAUAGCAUGCAUAUAUAUAUAUAUAUAUAUAUAUAUAUAUAUAUAUAUAUGCGCAUAUAUAUAUAUGAUCUCCUUCAACACAUGGGCCCUUGAAGGACACUCUGUAUGCAAAGUUGAAGAGGCUCAGAUGAGUGUGAUGUGUAGCUGGCUAACAGGGCUAGAAGCAGGGUCAGCAAAUCUCAGCCCAUUGGCCAGUCCUGCCCCUACUCGGUAUGAAUGAAGUGACCUGGCCCACGUGACACAGGCACACAGCCUCUGCGCUGUGCUCACUGUCUGCUGCUUGGCACUACAGUGGCAGAGUUGAAUCACAGCCACAGAGGCCAUGUGAUGCUACAGAGCCCCAGUCAUCAAUCCAGCCAUUGACAGAAGUUUGUCCACCCAAGCUCUAACUUGGAACACAGAUUUCUGCGAGCACGUUUUCGUCUACUUUGGUCACCUGGCUAUUCCCAGCAACUAUGACAGUCCCUGACGUGCAGCAAGGGCCCAACCGUCGUGUGUUAGCCAACGAAUGAAAUGACUGAGUAACGGAAGGAAUCCAAGACUGUUAAGAAUAUUCUUAUUUUUUAAUGUUCUUUCUGAAAAAAAAAAAAAACAAAAAACUAAACAGGAUUGUUGAUGAAGACGAGAGUUGGGUCACUUGAAACUUCAGAGAGAGCAAAGUUGACAUGGCAGAAACUGGGACUGUCUGGUGGACAGAGUGGGUUUGCACACACCCUGACUGCCUUACCUGCAGAAAAACGGCCUGUCUCUAUUUUGAGAAAUUAAGGCUAAUUUUAAAUGUGAGGAAUUGGCAAAGCACCCUGACAGUUUCCACUAAUGAAUUCCUGUGGUUAAUUACACUUAGAUUUCUUAACGCUUCUCCCUCUAGAGCCCUCCAUGCUAAUCUUGCUUGGAGGAUUCAAAGCCACACCUACUGAUGUCUUCCUCUAAAAAAAAAAGAAAAAGGAAGAAGCUCAGAGAUUGCUGUGCUCUCUUUGUGUUUCCCGUAUUGAGUCUUCCCGUUUUCACUGAUAACCGGACUGAAGGGACAAGAGCUCCAGCGGGUCAUCCUCUAGACCUUUGCAGGUUUUUCUGGGUGCAGCUUGGUGUUAAGUGACAUAACAGCCCAUCUGUAAGCGCACCAGUGCAUGGAGGCUCUGAGACUUGCAGGAGCAGAGCCGCAUGCCUCUGCGGACCCGCUCUGCUACGGGUGUGAACCCUCAGAAGCAUCCCUGUUGCAUGGGCGGGCCUGUGAGCCCUCGUGGCCCCUUUCCUAAAGUUUUCCUUUCUCAAGGAAGAAGAUACAUCAUCCUAUGACUGACAGACAUCAUCCUGUGACUGACAGAUAUCAUCCUGUGACUGGCAAAGCUUCCAAGUCUGAAAGUAGCCUCCCCUUGCCGUGCAGCUAGGGGGAAAGCUGACAGGAUGAAGCAGCUGUGGAGACUGAACAGCAGACAUUGCUAUCUUACUCUUCUGGGCCCUGUGAGAUCGGAAUACUGGCUCCCUUCAUGUCUGGGGUGGUCCAUCUCCCUAGUUUGCCUCUUCAACUUCUCCUUGUAUCCUCCGCUGGUGGGAUCAUAGCUUUUCUGCCCCCUACUAUAGUGUUAGUCUGAAACACCAAGCCCCUAACUCUCCUCUCAGACACACUCCCAAAACAUCCACUUUCAAAUACUGUCUUCUUGGACACUAGACGUCAACAUAUGAAUUCUAGUGGACACGUGUUCAGUCCACAGCACUUCCCCUUCCCCAUUGCCGUAUCGGCAAUUAUGAUUGGUGUACAUGCUUUCCAGGUUGUCUGGUAACAUGGGCAUACCGCUUCCUAUUGGCACACUCUGUGAAAUUUAAGGAAAGGUUCCAGGUGUUGCAACAAUCCUGUAGCCACCAUCCUCAUGAAGUCACCAGCCAGUGGACACUCUACUCCAUUCACAGCAUCAAGUGGGGUGGUGGGAAACAGACACCGUAGUUACCAGAAGCCGGUGAACGGUGUGGAGAAGAGAGGCACAAGAGAUCACAGAGGAGGUAAAAGUCAACACUGACCCUUUAACUCUCAGUACGAAUUGUCCCCAAGGCGAUGAAGUCUCAGCCCAUUCUGUGACAUGAAAGUGUGCAGCAUCUGUUAGUGGCUUGCCCCAAAUCAUCCACGAUGGUGGAGGCUCAAGGAGGCAGUGUACCCUUGUCCUCCUCCUUGAGCCUUUCUGUCUCCGACCUCCGCAUGCCCAUCUAUUAUAGACUGCUAUACACAUUGUAUAGACACAUCUUGGCUAUUCCAUGUCUAUGUACUCUAAGCCCUUAUCUGAGUGUUGUACUGCUUGCUGUAAGGCUCUUACCAAAGACUGAAAAGCAGGGUACAAGGGAGUCAACCUUUUGUGUGGUUACAGUAAUGCAAACACAGUUGCAUACAGCACAGGGCAUAAGAAAGUCUUGGAGUGCCUGGUGUAUAGUAGGUACUUAAUAAAUGGUUAUAUUUUUUAUUAUUAUGACACUGUCAAAAGUAAGUUCAUGUUCUAACCUUUUAAAAGUAGGAAUGUUAUCAACACUGUCCACUAUAAACCCUUCACUACCUCCAGAGUAGAUAAUCCAGUCUCCAGAGCCACAGGCCGAAUCCUCCUGUUCCGCCCUCCCAGUCAUUUAGGCUAUUUCCUACUUCCUUUAUUUUUUUCUUCCUUUUCUGUUGGGAGCACAAAGGCCCUUGCACCCACUGAUCUCCAGGGAGCCCAGGCAUGUUCAGCACCCAGGGUUGUCCUUUCACAGAGAAGGAGAUAUAACCUGGUUUUCUGAAAGGCUGGGAAUUGGCGGUGACUAAUAACUUGCUGACCCGCUUUACCUGUUGGGCCAGGCCAUAUCAAGCUCCUGCAACAAGAGCUGCAGGUGGCUGGUUAUCGAAAUGGCCCUUAGGUUAUUAAAUGACCCUUGGGUUCCUUGUACAGCCAGGAGCUCCCCCGGUCUUCCACAAUCAGGACCAGAGGUGGCUACUAGCCCAAAGGACCUCUCUGCUAUCUACAUAACUAAGAGACCAGGAUCCCUUUCAGUCCCUUAAGCUAGUGCAGGCAGCCUAUCUCUAGCCGCCAUCUUCUUGGAAGACAGGACAUGCUCCCUUCUUGUUGGGCUCUUACUUGUCUAGCGUUGCCUCUUUGCUCUCAUCGGGGAAGACUUCCAGGGGAUCAAACAGCAUCUCCGUUUCCUAGACGACUUUGCACAUGGCAGAUCAGAGCGGCGAAUCGCACCUAAGUUAUUGGUGAAAUAAACAGUACUUCUUACAAGAUUUGCCAAAAGGAAAUUAAAG